rnacentral:rRNA from 1 species
AAAUCUACCCAGUAAUCCGGGAUAACAUCUCGAAAGAGAUGCUAAUACCUGAUAAGCCCACGAUCUCUUCGGAGAACGAGGGAAAAGGUGGGGACCUUCGGGCCUGCCGUUGCUGGAUGAGUCCGCGGCCCAUUAGCUAGUUGGUAGGGUAAUGGCCUACCAAGGCUACGAUGGGUAGCUGGUCUGAGAGGAUGAUCAGCCACACUGGAACUGAGACACGGUCCAG